rnacentral:tRNA from 1 species
AAUUAAAAAGCGAUAAUUUGCAUUAAGUUUCGACCUUAAAAUCUGGUUUUUUUAAAAAAUCUUUAAUUA